UUAUCAUUAGAACUAUAUAAUUCAAAACUAUUUCGAUUCUUUAAAAUUUCUCGUUAAAUUAUCAAUCAACUAUUAAUCACAUUGCCAGUAAUCAAAUAUCAAAUAAGUAUAAAAGCUAGUUUUGUAUAUUUUUAUUUUUUCUCUCGCAAUUGUAAUUAGCACGAUUGGUAUAGCGAUUAUUAGCUCAGUAAUAUAGCGAAUCGUGACCGUUGUUUCACAGAUUCGCGCGCGGAAACUCGAAACUCGAUUUGUGAGCUGUUUAAUUUUCACUAGUUAUUCAUUAGCCAGUUACCAACUCGUUAUUACGGACCAGUGAAUUAUUGCACGCGUAUACUGGCUUGUGGCAUACGUAUUCGUCGUGAAACCACGAUUUCCGGCUCUCUUCACGCGCUACACCGCAAACGAGCAGAUUUUGGCGUACGCUCAACGCUAUUAAACGUCCGGUGAAGAUGUAACGAUUAUGGGAAAAAUCGACGAGUUUUUGAGGUUAGAUUAGCGAACCUCGGGAAAUCCUAUUAUGAGGGCAUUGACGAUGCGACGAAACGCGACCAAUGACGAUAAUUCUUGGAUCAUAAUUCCAUUCGAGCCAGGGAAAGAUCCGGAGCAAGGAACACUGCAAUUGCUGAAUUGCGGAAGUGGGGGGCCGAUGUUCAGGGAACGAAAAGGGAAUUUCCUGUUGUUCCUAUAUCACUCUUAGGAACGAAGGAAAUUUAAUUAGUUGAGAAGCUAAACCUACCAAUACCAUGUGCAUUCGAACGUAUCGUUCGGAACGACAACACUGGAAGCGUGGAACGAAAGAGGGGAUAAAGAUGUAACGAUGGACGACGUUUCUAAGAGAAAAAUAAAGAGAGAAAAAGUAAAAAGACGAACAUUUCUUUGAACGAAGGAAGGGCCAACAGGCAUUCUUCGAGAUACAAUAAUGGAUUCGCGGGUACACAGUGAGCACGAUGUGUAAUUAGUCACUCGUCAGAGACUGCUUGAACAAUGGAGUCAACGUAUCCUCGCCAUUUCCUUGCAUUAUCUCUGUUGUACAACGCUAUCUGAGCCAACUGCGCUUGAUUAGCACGGAUUACGACAAACGUAAUUGAUACACGCGCCGAUGCAGUGAUCAGAUUACGUUUCAAACGUAUCUUCUCUCCAAGUGUCUACGUUCUAGUUCAAAAAGGAUACAGAAAAAGCUAGUAUCUCUUAUCUUACCACGGCAGAAGGUUGACAGAGCUAGAAAUAUAGGUCAGAAAGAUCUUUCUUGUUGAUGGCGUGUUUCUUCACUCAAUGCAUUAUGUAUACAUAUAUAACAGUAGCAGUAGUAGUACAACCAUACGUAUGAGCUUCCACGUGCCAGAGCUUUGUGAAAUAUAUUUCGUAAUAACUUACGAAAUAUUAUUUCCUAUAUAACUUACGAUAAGAUGAUUUUGCAUGAUAAAAAUAGAUAAAAUUUAUAAUUCACAUAUAUAAAUAAAACGUUAAAUAUAUUUAAUUGUCUUGCUAAAUUUUACAUUACAAAAAUAUUAAUUUUUCGAGUUUAUACUUUUUAUAUUCGCG
rnacentral:lncRNA from 11 species